UUUUCGGAGAGUUUGAUCCUGGCUCAGGACGAACGCUGGCGGCGUGCCUAAUACAUGCAAGUCGAGCGGAUGAAUAAAGGAGCUUGCUCCUUUUAGAAGAGCAGCGAACGGGUGAGUAACGCGUGGGGAAUCUGCCUUUGAGCGGGGGACAACAUUUGGAAACGAAUGCUAAUACCGCAUAACAACUUUAAACAUAAGUUUUAAGUUUGAAAGAUGCAAUUGCAUCACUCAAAGAUGAUCCCGCGUUGUAUUAGCUAGUUGGUGAGGUAAAGGCUCACCAAGGCGAUGAUACAUAGCCGACCUGAGAGGGUGAUCGGCCACAUUGGGACUGAGACACGGCCCAAACUCCUACGGGAGGCAGCAGUAGGGAAUCUUCGGCAAUGGACGAAAGUCUGACCGAGCAACGCCGCGUGAGUGAAGAAGGUUUUCGGAUCGUAAAACUCUGUUGGUAGAGAAGAACGUUGGUGAGAGUGGAAAGCUCAUCAAGUGACGGUAACUACCCAGAAAGGGACGGCUAACUACGUGCCAGCAGCCGCGGUAAUACGUAGGUCCCGAGCGUUGUCCGGAUUUAUUGGGCGUAAAGCGAGCGCAGGUGGUUUAUUAAGUCUGGUGUAAAAGGCAGUGGCUCAACCAUUGUAUGCAUUGGAAACUGGUAGACUAGAGUGGAAUUCCAUGUGUAGCGGUGAAAUGCGUAGAUAUAUGGAGGAACACCGGUGGCGAAAGCGGCUCUCUGGCCUGUAACUGACACUGAGGCUCGAAAGCGUGGG
rfam:Bacillus azotoformans LMG 9581 contig81, whole genome shotgun sequence.